GACGAAGGGGGCUAGCGUUGUUCGGAAUUACUGGGCGUAAAGCGAGUGUAGGUGGUUGUCGUAGUCAGGCGUGAAAGCCUUGAGCUCAACUCAAGAAAUGCGCUUGAUACUGGGCAGCUAGAGGACCGGAGAGGAUAGUGGAAUUCCCAGUGUAGUGGUGAAAUACGUAGAGGUUGGGAAGAACACCAGUGGCGAAGGCGGCUAUCUGGACGGUUUCUGACACUAAGACUCGAAAGCGUGGGGAGCAAACAGG
rnacentral:rRNA from 1 species